ACCCAAUUAACUCAGUGGUUAGAGUAUCACUUUCAUAUGGCGAGAUUCGUUGGUUCAAAUCCAAUAGUAGGUA
rfam:Picea glauca, whole genome shotgun sequence.